GGUUUGGGGUCUUUUAUAAGCAGCUCAGAGUUUAUACUGACUACCGGGCUAGGUGUUUAAUUGCACAAGUGGAAUCCUACCAGCUUCUGGCUCAGGCUACUUGGCCCCUUGAACUCCAGCGUGGUCCAUGGGUCUCUCUCCCUCACGCCCAUGUACCCCAGGAGAGGCAGCCGGGGACUACCUCCUCCCUUUUGACAUGAAGUCUCAGAAGUUUCUCUGUGCAGAGUGAUGAGAGGCCAGCCUUGGGGGAAGAUCCCUGCCGCCAACAACCCUCCUUGCCUAGCUGCCAUGCAACCUUCCCCUACACGGUAAACAAUUCCUGGGACAGAAGUGCAUCCUUUGAGGAGGGAAUAGCGGCUCCCUACUUUGAAUUAGAAGCUUUAUUGAGGGACAAUCCACAAGUAAAAUGGAUUCAAGAGACAGCUGGACACCCAUGCUUGAGACUCAGUCUCUCCAUUCCGGAGCCUGAAGUGGUGUGAACUCAAAGUAAGACAGACCUGAGGUUGUGACACAGCUGUGCCCUGAGCUGUGUGAUCUUGGGAAAGUCACUUAUCUACUCUGGUUCUCUGGUCCUUCAUAUUUAGCAAAAAAUGCAUAUAAUAUUCACAUCCUAUCAGUAGAGUGGUAUGAACAUGAUUUGUAAACUGCUAAGAAAUGGAGAAAUGUGAGGGAUGAUGAAUUUGAAGCAAUAAUGAUGAUGAAUAUAAUGCCAGGGUUACCUCCGCAGGAUAGCCCUUUCUUUCUCCCUCCCUUCCUUUCCAUGUAUUUAGUUACACAAAUAUUUAUUUAGCAUCUACUAAGCGCUGGGCACUCUGCUAGGACCUGGGCACAGAGUGGUGAGCAAACCAAGAAUCAUGUACUCAGGGAACAAAUCGGUUCCUACAGGGAGGUGUGCUACAUGCUGUGAUGGGGCUGGACUGGGAGGUAUGGGGAGCAGAGAGCAGGGCAUCUCACAGAGUCUUGGCUGUUCAGAAGACUCUAGCAGAGUCCAAGAGGAAGAGGUGGAACCAACCAGGCAAAUAGAGGAUGGGAGGAAGCGAAGAUAGAGUAUUCUCGUAUGGACAGAAAAAAAUGCCUUUACAUGUGAAGAUGCAGAGGCCGGGGGUGCCAGGUACAUUUAGGGAACUGAAUUCAGUGCAGCGGGAAAUAAAGUGCAAUUAUAGGGUGUGUGUAUUUGUGUGUGUGUGUGCAGGUCUGGUGAGAGCUGAGAGAUGGAAGUGGGAAAGUGUGUAGGGUUAGAUCAUAAAAGUCCUUAUAGGCAUGCUAAGGAAUUUGGACUUUAUGCUGAAAAGCAAAGACAGUGUUUAAAUGGAUUUUAGCAGGGGAAAGGAAUGGCCAGACUUAUGUUUUAGAAAGUUCUUCCUGGCUGCAGUGUGGAGAAUGGAGUGGAGGAGACCAGGUUGCAGGCUGGGGGAGGCUGUGUUGCCAUAGUUCCUGAGGGAUGAUGAGAGUAUUGAGGGUGGAGAGAAGUGAUCACAAGGAUGCAGUGGUGGAAAUGUUGUCACAGUCAGUUGUUGACUCUCGAUUUUGUCCUUGGUCUAGCGGUGAGAGCCUGAAGCUCUGUGAAGACCAGAUCCAAUGUAAAUGCCAGCCCUAUCCUAUCCUCGUGUGUCCUCUGGAGGGCCCAGAGCUUGGGUCCCAAAAAUGUGGUAGCCGCUGCAGGCAGAUCUGGCUUUUCUCACUCUGAAACCUCCCGAUGACCCAGGGGAAGUUUCUGUCUGAUGACGGUCAGAUCAGGCAAGAGAGGCGGGCGAUAUUGGUCCUGCCCCCAGACUGCCAUGGACAGGCUAAGGGGAUGGGGAGGAGACAUGUGCCUAAAGUUGGCCAGGGUUUUAGAUUUCACAUCCCAGCACAAUCUGGACACUUAUAGCACCCCCGUGGCUGAACGACAGAGAGACACUGAACAGGAUGAAGGAGGGGGUGAAAAGUUCUACAAGGGUGAUCUGCCUCUGUAUAGGGCAGUGGUAAAGGAGCACUGGCCUGGAGUCAGGAGGUUAGGUCCCAGGCUUGGGACUGAGGCUGUGGGAACUUAGGGAGGUCACUGAGCUUACCUGGGCCUUGGUGUCCCCAUCUCUAUAAAGAAAGAGUAUGUGGAAGGUGGAAAGUGUACUGGCUCUCAAGGAAUCGUCCAGAGGAAUAUGUCCUACAGUUGCGCCCUGAGCAGAAACCAGGCAACAUCCCCGCACCUGUGUCUUCUCAUUUUCAAUGCAAAUGCUUAAGGACAUCUUCCUUUUUAAUCUCAUUGGAUUGGCUCUUGUGAUCCAGUGUGUGAAAGCACUUUGAAAACUCAUCAGCUGUAAUAACACUGUCGAUUGAUCUAACUCCUUAUAGUGAAUAAAUGCUACCAUAGCCCUUAUCUCAUUUAAUACACUUGUCGGUACAUAUGUGUAUUACUAUGUAUAGCUAUUUAUCUACUAUAUAAUAAUAUAAAAUACUGUAUAUAAUAUACAAUAUAAUACUAUGUAACAUAUAAUACAUAGAGCAGGCAUGAUAUUCUAAUAUAUUCCAAUUCAUAUUCAGCAGCUCCCUUGCUCACUCAGAAAACAUGAGACGAUUCUUACAAUUCCUCCCAAGUCCCACUCUAUCAGCACAGGCCACCCCAUGACUUCCCUUGUGUGUCGCCUACUCUCCCCCUCUUUUAUUCUGCUCCAGCCACACUGGCCUCCUUGCUCUCUUCAACUCUGCCAGGCUUACUCUCACUCCUGACCUUUAAGUUGCUCUUCCUUGCUGGUUGGCCUGAUGUCACCUCUUCACCUCUAAGUCUUGGCUCAAAUCACCUCCUCAACGAACCCUUCUUCAGUCCCCUAUUGCAACCCUCUCCCUCACUCUUUAUCUUGUUAAUCUGCUUGAUUUCUCUCCACCAUCUGAAUGUUAUAUAUGUCACUUGCUUAUUUGUUUAUCACCUGUCUCCUCUCAGUAGCUGGAAAGUGGCCUGAGGGCAGGGAGUUCUCGUCAGUCUUGCUCACGUCUGUGGCCUCUGUGUCUAGAACGGUGCCUGGAGCACAGGAGGAGCUCAGUAAACAUUUGCGCUUGCGUUAGUGAUUGAUGGAAUGAAUGCGAGCAGCAAGGAUAACACAAUGAUCUCAUUGUGACGGUGUGGUGCUAGGCACCGGGCACAGAGCAGUUAACAAGACAAAUGCUGGACCAGAGUCUCAGCUGUGCAUGCCCCUCAUUGGUUCUGGGCAGCCAGUGGUAGAAGCAGAAACUCAGCAGCCCUCAACUUUUUACCUGUGGAUGUGGCCUGCCUCUCUCUUCUUUGUUCUGGGCAGCAGAGGGCCCUCUGAGUAGAAUCGGGGUGGGAGCUGGACUCAGGCCCCAGCCAGGGUCAGUGAGAGGCAUACAAGGAAUGGCCUCUCUCAGAUCCCAGGGGCAGUGAGGGACAGCCAGACCACCCUCCUCCUCUUUGGCACUCAGUCCUGCCACCAAGGGCUCCAAAUCUUUGGGCCAAGUUCACAGCACCUGCUGCCCAGGGAACAUGUGAUCAUUUGAGUGCUGCUGAGUUGGAACAAACCACACAAUCAGGUCAUUGUGUUAAACAUGCUGGUCCCUUUGCCAAGCCACACCCCAUUCCAUCACUGCCACACCUUUUGGGGCCCUGAUUUACAGGGGUCCCAAACUGGGCAGGGUAUCGUCCCAGUGGUCCUGGGGAAGGAGGGCUCUCUGCUGUGAGACCCACUUACUCUGGCCUGCUCUGAGAUCCGGGGAGAAAGAGAUGGGAGAAGGAAGCAAUAAGGGCCCCAUGAGGAGGCAGACACUGAAGAGACCAUUACUGUUUGACUCUUGGUGACACUUUGGCAUUAACCAUUGUCCUCCAACAUUUGCUUUGGGUGGUGAAGACUAUUAAUCACUAACUUUGAUUUUUUUAGCAAUCCAAAGGUUUUCCUCCUGUCAUGACUGGGCCCAGGAAUUCUCACGAAGUCCACUGUUGGAGGGAGAUCUUCCUUCACAGAACCGAUCCUCAGAAGGCCAUUAGACAAGGAUUUGGCGCUACUGAACUCUGGGUGAACCCUGCCAAACUCAGACAGGGCAGGGCCAGGUGGGCUUCUGGAGAGUCAGACCGAGCUGCCAGGGAGUUGGGCCCAGCUUUUUCACUUCUAAGCCCACUGGCCUUGGGCAAGCCACUUAACCUCUCUGAGCCUUAGUUCCCUAAUCUAUAAAAUGGGGAUGAUGAUGCCUAUCAUCUGUAAUUGUAGAUGAAUGAAAUGAAAGGAUGUCUGUAAAACACUGGCCUGUACAACAAGACUGUAUUUGUUACUGUCCUUCUAGGAGUGAGGAGCCACACAGGACUUUGCACCCUGGUGACACUCAGGCAAAACUCACUGGUAGGUUUUACUCCACAGGCCAUUGAGUGAUCGUAAGGGAUCCUGUCCUGUUUGGGUCAUUUUUUUCAUUAUAGGUGACUCUAAGGGAAAUGACAUGAUGAGGGAGCAUUCAGCUUGGUGGCCACAGCAACCUUGAUUUUAACAGGCAAGUGAACAGAGAAUAUUCCUCAGCCCGGUACACUCCAAGAUUCUUGAGUGCCUGGAAUGUAGUGAGUGCAAAAAAGAGGUGAAUCUGAAUCAAGGAGCUCGAGGCGAACCAGGACCACCUUGCAUCCUAGAUGUUUGUUAUGGGUUCAGAGAUCCCAGUUCUGCUUUGCCCCAAUCCUCAGUGUACCUUUCCACGAAGAGAGAGGAAGAGACAGUAAACAGCACUCACCCUUCUCCAUCUUACCCUGUAGGAAAGACGAUGGUCUGGAGGCCAGGACCCAGGCACCCAAGAAGCCCUUGCCUAUAACCCUGGCUCUGAGGGCGCAGCAGAUGAUUUGUGUACCGUGCUUUGUCUCUCUAGAGUCAUCCUCCAGGGGAAACACACUCCCCCCUUCCCCUGCCAUGCGAAGGGAGGUCUGGGCAAGGGAGGAGGAGCAUUGCAAUUAUUGAGCACCUGCACCAACGGUGUGUUAGGUGCUGUCCAAAGUGCUGUGGGUAUGCUGUUUCCACGAUUCUGGGUGCCCUCAUCCCUAAAGAAAAGGCCCUGAGACCUUGAACGUCGGAGUUUAAUAGUCUUGGAGGCUCUGCAGGCACUGGAGGUCCUUCACAAGUGAUUUAGUUCUCUUGGGGCUCAGUUGCUUCCCCUGUGAGAUGGGCAUAAUCAGAACACCUACACUUCGUGGGUUGUGUAAGGAUUAAAUGAGAUGAGAUAAAGCACACGACACGGGGCUUCUUAAGGGCUCUGCAGAUUUUAGGGACGACAAUGACGACGAUGAUGAUGAUGAUGAUGAUAAUGAUGAAGAAGAAAUAGUGUGGGCUCUAAAAGGCUCCCCUAGAUGUUAUCCUCUCUGCUGCUUGGAAUUUCCAGCCAGGCAGCAGAAAGGUCCUGACGCCGGCAGUCCUGGGUGCCUGACUCUAUUUCUCGCUUGCCUGGUCGCCUGGGUCCGUCACUUCCUCCAGAUGCCUUCCAUUCCGGGGUCUGAGCGUUGGGUCCCCGUGAUGAUAGGUCAGCGGUGCAACGUCAGAGCUACUCCAAAGGACACAAGGGACCCUCUCCUCCUCCAGACGCCCAGGCCUCGCCAGGCUGCCUGCUCCUCUGUGUGGGCAGGAGGAAGAGGGUGUGUGAGAAUGCGCAACCAGCGAGGAAGGGGCGAGCCUCAUGGGGGGUGCGUGUCUCUCCCCUUCCCCGCUCUGGGGCGCGGCCGACUCGCUCUAGUUCCCUCCUCCCAACGGCUUCGUCUCCAGGUGCCUUCCUUUAAUUAAAAAGACGUAGCCUUCCGCUACACCGGCGGCCUUCGUUUGCAUGGCAUCCUUCCCUUUCUUGCAGCGUCAGUCUCAGAACGCGCCAGAAGGUUAACAGAGCUUCGUGGCGCCGCGUCCUGGGCCGGCCCAGCUGAGCCGAGCGCGCCGCCCCCAGGCCUCCGCGCGGCGGGCGGGAGCUGCCAGGUCUCGGCCCCUGUCCCCGCCUGGCUCGGCACAGGGCGCGAGCAGAAGCGCCGGCGGCAUUCUGGAGGCGGGCACGGGCGUGGUCCCCAGCCUCCAGCUACGACGCGCGUUUACAGACCGCGUCUCCGCCGGUGCUUGAAGCCAGGGCGGGGUCCUGUGCAUCUUUGACCUUCAGGACUGGUCCUCCGGUACGCAUCUGAAUCCGCGAGGGAGGCAGGCGUUUUCCAGUCACCUCUGCUUGCCGGACUGAGUUCCUGUGGUAUUUCAGGAGAAGUCACAAUUCCUGUGCCGGUGGAACUAAGAGCUGGUCGGAGAAACUGUAUUGGAGAUGACACGAAGAACUGAUAUGGGGAAGAUGGUUAGAACCUGCAGGAAGGCUUCUCGAGGUGGGCUGGAGUUCAGAGGAAAGCAGGACGGGAACUCCCAGUCCAUGCCUGACCCUUACUUAUUAGUAUUAAAAAGAAGAUUCUGAUGCUUAGAAAAAUCAGGCAAAUUCACCAAGGGCAUAUAGAUGGUGUAAACCCACGCGGGCUAGUCUCCCAGGCUGGCUUUUUCCCACUCGGGGGGGGGGGGGGGGGGGGGGAAGGAGGCGUCCAUCUUGGGAAGACUGAACUCCUUUCCUUCUGGGUGCAGCGUGCUGUGGUGAGAAGAUCAGACAGGGACCUGGGAGACUCUAGAUCAAAGUCUUUGCUUCUGGCCCCACAGUGGCCUCUCUGCAUGGUUCUUUGCUUCCGCAGCAGACCUGAAGUUUUGUCUAUAACCUCUCCUCAGCCUGCUCAGAACCCACUCACUCAAGUCUCCUCCAUCUCCAGGCCAAGACCCACACUCCAGCUGCCCAAUGUCUCAAGGCCAGGGAACCAAGAGCAGAGUCGCCCCUCCUUUAAUGGCAGGCCCAAUCCCUACAGGUUAGGAAGAGGAAAUGCAGGGAAGGCUCUGCUUACGUUUUUACCCCUUCCCUAGAUUGUUCUGAAGACCCACCCUCUUGACUUCCAUGAACUAGUUCAGCUCUUCCUUUAUGCAAAUCCCUUUUCAUUUCCUUGAACUAGGAGACAGGCACUGUGGGGCUGGGUACUGGAGGUUACUGUGAUUUCCUCCAUGCAGAGUGUCUGAUACAGAGCAGACAACCAAUAAAUAGUGAACGAAUGGGCUCAGAAUUAGACUCAGCCUUCCAAGUUAAAGACAGAGGAGGAAAGACAUGCCCGAAUGUGAAGGGCUUCAGAACCCCUUAGUCACUGGCUUGUUUCCCCAUAGUUACAUAUUCUUCCUGCAUGUAGACCCAGGGCUGUCAUGACAUCAGCCCCUCCUGCAGGAUUCUGGAGGAAAGGAGGCAACAUUUCCACUCUCUUUAUCAUUUGGAGCCUCUGGAACUGGGAGCCCGAGGGAUUCCUUUACCCUCUGGAGCCAGCCCAGGCAGACAGUCAGUUAACGCUAUUGUAGGUCCAGGAGAGGGCAGGGUGAGCUCAGGACUUCUUUUAGAGGUGUGUUUUCAGUAGCUCAUUCACUUCCCUGCCAGAUGGUGAAGCACAUGGAAGAUCAAAGUCUGCCAUUAGCAUUCUCAGCCAUGCAUCCCAGAGUGGGGUGAGCUCUCUCUUCUCCAUCUCUCUUACCAUGGGUGCUCUGCUGAAUUGGGGGAUGUGGGGAGACUGCCACGAACAGUGGCAGCAACUAACACCCCAGAGUACUUCCCAGUAACAUUAUUUCAUAUCAUCCACAUGAGAAAUAGAUGAGGUUAGUGUUGAUCUGUUUCAUAGAUGAGCAAAGUGAGUCUCUGAUAGACUAAGUGACACACCCAAGGUCACCUAACUACUGAGUGUUGGGGUCAGGAUUUGGACCCAGACGCUCUGAUUCCAGAGACUGAGGGGUCGGGGAGGACCAUCUGGAAGGCAAGUAGAGCCUGGACAAGACCCUCGAGUUUCCAGGCUUUGCCCAGGAAAGUGGAAUCUUCCUGAAAGGACACUAGGAAGAACAUCUUGCUCGAAAUGACCCCCAACAAGUCUCUCCUCUAAUUAAGGCACUGUGACUCUAGAGAUGUAUUAAAACACAAAUAUUUUUGUUGAGAAGAAUGUGACAAUAUUGAUCCAAAAGCCCGUCAGACUUAUUAGCAAAUGCUGGGCCAUUGGAUUAGCUUGCUGUUACCCAAAAAGCAGAGCGCGUGCCCCUCAGAGGAUACAUCUUGAGGGCAGGUACAAUUUGAAGGAGGUGCAGGGCUGACAGAAAGGUUGUUAUAAUCUUAGGUGGUUUUAGUAAUAGCACAUCCAAGAUAAAGGUGGUGAUAUUCUGUCUCUGUUCCUUCUGAGUCACCCCACACCUAGGUUAUGAGUUCACUUCUAAGGACUACCUAAGAAGACUGAGAAACAGAGGUAGAGGGGACCAGAAGACCGUAAAGGUACUUUAAACCACUCCCACUGAGGAUGAACUAAGACGAUAGAGCAUAUUUUUCCUAAGAAGAGAAGACUGAUGGUGAAGUGGGAGUUGUAAUUACAAAGUGACCAAGGGGAGAGAGAAUCCAUGCUUUUGGUGAGCAAUGUGUGGAGGUUGCAGAUAAGUCCACUCUAGUUAAGUCUAAGUGACAAGUUUGGGGCAUUGAUCUGCCUAGCAAUGGAAUGGGCAUUACUUUGAGAAAGAAUUAACUGCUUACAGAUAAGAGUUGACUUCAAGAAGAGGCUGGAUGAUGGGGACGCUGCAAGGAGGAGACCUUUGGGAUUGGGGAUUCCCAAACUUGAUCGAUCCUACUGUCACCUGGGAGAGUUUAAAAAAAUCGCAGACUCCAUGGAAGACCUGCUGAAGCAGAAUCUUAAAUUGGAGGAAGGCCAACAGCAUCAUCUGGAAGCUUGUUUGAAAUGCAGAUUCUUGGGCCUCGCUCAAGACCUACUGAAUCAGAAACUCUGGAGCCAGCUGCCAUGUCAUGAGGACACUCAGGCAUUGCCAUGGAGAAGCCCAAGUGACAAGGAACUGAGGCUUCCUGCCAACUGCCAGUGAUGACCUGAGGCUGCAGUCAAGAGCUAUGUGUGGGACCACCUCUUGGAUGUGGAUCCUCCAGCCCAAGCCAGGCCUUCAGAUGACUGCAGACCUGGUUGACAGCUUGACUGUAACCUCACGAGAAGCCCUGAGCCAGAACCACCCAGCUGUGGAGCUCCUGGAUUCCUGACCCUCAGCAACUGUUCGAGAUAAUAAAUGUUUGCUGUUCUAAGCUGCUAAAUUGGUGGUAAUUUGUUACUGUUACAUAGCAAGAGAUAACUAACUCUAGACGCAUUCUCCUAUCUGUUCUGAGAAAUUCUACUCUUGGCCAUAUGAGUGUUUUGUCAGCAUACUGCUCAGAGAGUAUUUUCACCACUAGAGCAGAAAGUAGAAUUUUUUCUUCUUUCUUUUUGUCCUAAAUUGACUUCUUUGAGCUUUAAACUUGCCCCUAGCACUGACACUGAGAUUUCGUGUGUGCACCUAUCAAUUCAUUCUUGGCAUUUUAGUGUGACUGUGAUAAAAAUUUCCAGGGGGGAUCCUCCCAGAAGCUAGUCUGGAGACAUCAAAAAUGCUUCUCUGAGUCCAGUAGAUUCUUUAUUCUGCUUUGGCUGGACAUUCUGUCUGAGACAAGGGGUUAUCCUGGAGGAAAGGUCACAUGGCCUUUCCUAGAGUCAAGUCAGAAAGAAUGGAGGCAGUGUGGGUAGGCAGCAAUUGAGGUUGGUGAGACUCACCUUUCAGAGUCAAAGAAAAAGAGGGGGAAGGCCCAUCAACUACAGAGUCUCGGUCCCUCCAUUUCACACUUGUGCAUGCGUGUGUGCAGGUAGUCCUUCCAUUCAUCAUCUUGGAAGUCUUCGAAGAAUUAGAGGCCAGGACCAGCACUGGCCAAAGUUCACAAGUUUUGUU